rnacentral:rRNA from 1 species
GGAGAAAUUCAAUAUUGCCGGUUAAAUGGCAAUGUGCACUUUUUUCUUAGUAAGACGCUGUGAUCCAUUAGAAAUUGACCAUUCCAAUGGUUAGUGGGCUAUCAAUAGGCCGACAUGAAGUUCAGUGAUGCAAAUGGCAUUAUCUUUAAUGGUUGUGUGUAUUGCCCGCUGAGCAUGUUGAUACCUGAAAUAGCUGUCUGAUGGAUUUUAAAGGCCAUAUUACUAAUGCCGCAAGGCAUUACUCAUUUCGAUGGGAGUGGAUAUGUGCCCGAUCGACAGCGGUUAAAUUUGUGAUACCUUUGGGACCCGUCUUGAAACACGGACCAAGGAGUCUAUCUAGUAUGCAAGUAAAUGGGCAUAUGAAACCUAUUUGCGUAAAAAACUUGACUUUUAUGGGAUUACGAGUUCAUGUCACAGUGGGCUCCUCCAUCCCGGGGUAUUUUUGUCAACAUAUGCAGCAAUGUAUAUGGAAAAUAUACCAUGAGCAUACUGGAUAUGACCCGAAAGAUGGUGAACUAUGCCUGAUCAGGUUGAAGUCAGGGGAAACCCUGAUGGAGGACCGAAGCAAUUCUGACGUGCAAAUCGAUUGUCAGAAUUGGGCAUAGGGGCGAAAGACCAAUCGAACCAUCUAGUA